rnacentral:rRNA from 1 species
AUUGAACGCUGGCGGCAUGCUUUACACAUGCAAGUCGAACGGUAACAGGCCGCAAGGUGCUGACGAGUGGCGAACGGGUGAGUAAUGCAUCGGAACGUGCUCAGUCGUGGGGGAUAACUGCUCGAAAGAGCAGCUAAUACCGCAUACGAUCUAUGGAUGAAAGCGGGGGACCGUAAGGCCUCGCGCGAUUGGAGCGGCCGAUGUCAGAUUAGGUAGUGGGUGGGGUAAAGGCUCACCAAGCCAACGAUCUGUAGCUGGUCUGAGAGGACGACCAGCCACACUGGGACUGAGACACGGCCCAGACUCCUACGGGAGGCAGCAGUGGGGAAUUUUGGACAAUGGGGGCAACCCUGAUCCAGCAAUGCCGCGUGCAGGAAGAAGGCCUUCGGGUUGUAAACUGCUUUUGUACGGAACGAAACGGUCUGGGUUAAUACCCUGGGCUAAUGACGGUACCGUAAGAAUAAGCACCGGCUAACUACGUGCCAGCAGCCGCCGUAAGAC